UAGCAAGAUUGAAGUUUCCUUUUGCGAUUUCUUCAGCUUCUCCUUCUUGAGCCAAAUUAACGGUGCAUCCAGGGAUUUGUAACAGCAGUUCUUCUUUGGGUGUUGUGGUAACUGGGGAUGAUUCAAAUGCAUUUUCAGGGCUGCUGGAGUAGGUAUGGUGUUGGAAAUGUUGGCGCAGGAGGAUGGUGUGGCAAAGGUCAUGGGUCCAGUCCUGGUUAUGUGAUACCAGUAUAUGACCAAGGAAGGGAAGCUCAUGUCGACACUAAAAAUUUCCACCUUUAUAUGGAACUCUUCUUUUGAGUGGAGUUCAUGUUAGUAUUCUGAUGUUAAUGAAGUUGCUGAAGCUUUUAGCUAUGAAGAGUUGGUGGUUCUGCUCUGAUUGGUAGGGUUUUCGCUGCAAAUGUGUCUCCUCCUGGUUAGAGAACACUUUUCAUCAUGAAAUGGCUCAGGGAUUGCUCAACUUGAAAAUCCCUUUGACAGUCUCACCGGUUUCGCUUGGUAUUGCUUUUGCCAAGGCUGCAUUGUAAUUUUCGUUUCUUGGUGCAAGCUUCUCCCAAUCAAGAGCCUGAGCAUCCGAAGAAGUUUUAGAAGUACUGGAAGAAGAAACCCCAGAGAAACAAGAGUGUUCUUUAAGAAAUGAAUCAAGAUCAGUCAAACCACUUCCAGAUUGUUGUGAGAAAGAUACACCAUAGUUAAGAUUCAUAUCUACCAUCCGCAACGAAAAUAAAUAAUCAAGCUCAUCAAGUUUCACCACUGGCUCAUCUUUUGUUAAAGGCCAUUGAAGUUCAUCACCAACCUUAACUAAGACAGCUAAAGGUACAUUCUCGGAAGAAAGCUUAACAAGAUUAAAGUCUCCUUUGGCGAUUUCUACAGCUUCUCCUUCUUGAACCAGAUUUACCGUACAUCCGGGGAGCUGCAACAACAAUUCUUCUUUGGGUGUUGUGGUAACUGCGGAUGAUGCAAAUGCAUUUUCAGGUGAGUGUUUGUACGAAGAUGGUAGACUCUUACUACGAAGACCAAAAGACAUCCUGUCAACCGUAUUUUUGUUUUUAAGUAUAUAUAUCGAUGCAGAACACAAUGAAAUAUAGAGAAGGUACUUUACUAGAGGAAAACUAUAAGUUAUAUAGGAGGGAGAACAGAAGAAAGCUGUAAAUGAAUAAAGAGAAGAGAUGUUUUAGCACAAUGAUAAGAAGAUAUGUCAUGCGUCGAAUCUCCUUUCCUUUCCUGUGGAAGUACUGCACGUAAACACAAUGAGACUUUCGGUUGGAGAUAACUUUAUAUCAUGUUUGGACAAUCCUAAUAUUCCUACUGAAACUCUUACGUAAUUGUCAGUAUACUGGUUGGUUCUCUGGAAAGUGGGUUUGUUCGGUCAUUUCUUUUUAAGGUUUCCAUCUCCUUCAUACACUA